rnacentral:rRNA from 1 species
GACGAACGCUGGCGGCGCGCUUAACACAUGCAAGUCGAACGGAAAGGCCCUGCUUUUGUGGGGUGCUCGAGUGGCGAACGGGUGAGUAACACGUGAGUAACCUGCCCUUGACUUUGGGAUAACUUCAGGAAACUGGGGCUAAUACCGGAUAGGAGCUCCUGCUGCAUGGUGGGGGUUGGAAAGUUUCGGCGGUUGGGGAUGGACUCGCGGCUUAUCAGCUUGUUGGUGGGGUAGUGGCUUACCAAGGCUUUGACGGGUAGCCGGCCUGAGAGGGUGACCGGCCACAUUGGGACUGAGAUACGGCCCAGACUCCUACGGGAGGCAGCAGUGGGGAACAUUGCACAAUGGGCGGAAGCCUGAUGCAGCAACGCCGCGUGCGGGAUGACGGCCUUCGGGUUGUAAACCGCUUUCGCCUGUGACGAAGCGUGAGUGACGGUAAUGGGUAAAGAAGCACCGGCUAACUACGUGCCAGCAGCCGCGGUGAUACGUAGGGUGCGAGCGUUGUCCGGAUUUAUUGGGCGUAAAGGGCUCGUAGGUGGUUGAUCGCGUCGGAAGUGUAAUCUUGGGGCUUAACCCUGAGCGUGCUUUCGAUACGGGUUGACUUGAGGAAGGUAGGGGAGAAUGGAAUUCCUGGUGGAGCGGUGGAAUGCGCAGAUAUCAGGAGGAACACCAGUGGCGAAGGCGGUUCUCUGGGCCUUUCCUGACGCUGAGGAGCGAAAGCGUGGGGAGCGAACAGGCUUAGAUACCCUGGUAGUCCACGCUGUAAACGGUGGGUACUAGGUGUGGGGUCCAUUCCACGGGUUCCGUGCCGUAGCUAACGCUUUAAGUACCCCGCCUGGGGAGUACGGCCGCAAGGCUAAAACUCAAAGGAAUUGACGGGGCCCCGCACAAGCGGCGGAGCAUGCGGAUUAAUUCGAUGCAACGCGUAGAACCUUACCUGGGUUUGACAUGGAUCGGGAGUGCUCAGAGAUGGGUGUGCCUCUUUUGGGGUCGGUUCACAGGUGGUGCAUGGCUGUCGUCAGCUCGUGUCGUGAGAUGUUGGGUUAAGUCCCGCAACGAGCGCAACCCUUGUUCACUGUUGCCAGCACGUUAUGGUGGGGACUCAGUGGAGACCGCCGGGGUCAACUCGGAGGAAGGUGGGGAUGACGUCAAGUCAUCAUGCCCCUUAUGUCCAGGGCUUCACGCAUGCUACAAUGGCUGGUACAGAGAGUGGCGAGCCUGUGAGGGUGAGCGAAUCUCGGAAAGCCGGUCUCAGUUCGGAUUGGGGUCUGCAACUCGACCUCAUGAAGUCGGAGUCGCUAGUAAUCGCAGAUCAGCAACGCUGCGGUGAAUACGUUCUCGGGGCU